AGAUUGCUGAUUAAUGCAACUAAUUUUCUGCUUUUUGUCUUUUUUCAAGGACCCUGUAUAUUUUCCUGUCUCAAAUUUGUACAUAAUGCUGGGAUUUUAUUAAAGGGGCAGAAUAGUUUUCUUCUGUAUCUGGCAGGAUCACUUUUUUUUUUCAAAGAAAUCAUUGCUAGGUAAUACAAGAUGAUAUAAUUCUAGGGGAUGAACCUAUUGUCAAUAAAACUUACAUAAGAAGAUAAAAAAGAUAGUGUGAAUUCUAAAAACAGGGUGCUGUUAGGUCUAGGACAUUGCACUUUUGAUAUGGAUAAGGCAAUGCUGAGUUGUCUUUCCUGAAGCUGGUUUUGAGCAGAGUCAAAUUUUUUGUCCUUGUCUUUAGAUGCACAUGAAAGAGCACUUGACUUAUUUUUAUUACUGUAUUAUAUAUUUGUUUUUAUUGCUGAACUAUCCAUUGGUAUUGUUUUGCUACUGCAUUAUAUAGAUAAGCAAAUUACAGAAACUUUUCCAAAUACAAAUUCAGUGCAAUAACAUUGUGAAUUUAAAAAAAAAUUCCUAAGUUGUUCAAUAUGCAUAUAAAGAUUAUGUGGUUGUAUUAUAUUGUUUCAUGGUGCAAGAAGUUGCUGUAAGUACAAGCACACCUCUUGAAUGAAAUGCUAUUAGAAAAGGCACUUGCUAGCUGCAUAAAAAAGUUAUAUUAAAAAAUAAGAAUACAGAUGUAAACAGACGGUCUGCCAGCCUCUCACAGAGGAAACCAUGAGUGUGACUGGUCUCCAUACUGUAAAACAAAUCAAAACAUAGCAAAAUGCAUUCCAUCUCUUGAAAAAAAUAUUUUUUUUUUGCUGCAUUAAUGCAUGCUUUCAAAGUUCAAUAAGGAAAAAUGAAAUUUAUUUUGGCCACCUUAUAUAUUUGGACUUUCUUUUUUCUUGUAGGAGUUUUGAUUUUCUGUGUUUCUUUGUCACCUGAGCAACACAUACAGGUGGUGAAAAAAAAAUUCAUAAUAGACAGAAGAAAACAUUUUGGAAGGAUGAACCUGUAGGUUCUUUAUUAUUAAUCCUUGUUGUCAUACUGGUCAAGGUAUUCUUUGUCAAAUGGAGUUCAGUAUUGACCAAGGUAUGACACUCAGUUUCAUGUAAGAAUUGCUUGGAAUUUGGAAUUUUUCCAAAACAUCCUUUUAGAAUGUAAAUAACUCACUAACAGUGCUACCUAGAAGCUCUGUCUGCUUGAAUGACUGUAUAAUGUCAGGGUAAGGAAGAAGGAAUUUGUUGGGAAGAGAAAAUGGCCAAAACAUUUAUUGGUUUUAAGGGUCAUGUUAAAAAAAUCAUGCCAAAUUUUAUCUCUGGUUUGCCAAAUAAACCAGUACCUAAAUAUUUUUUCAGAAUAUUUUUACUAAUACCAAAACCACACAAAUGCAUUUCUUGCAAAACAACUUGAGUGACUCUCUGGAAUGUACCUAAAAUUACACUAUAGAGACACUCAAAGGAAAGAAACAUUCAGAAGAGAGCUGGAAUUUGUUUCUCAUAUAUCAAGGCUAUCAAAGAGGACACAAAUCUGUGAAAGGGUUUAUUUUACUUUCUUAAAUAACUAAACUGUGUAAGUGUAGAAGGAUAUAAUUUAAGAAAUUAUUGUACAUAUUAUUAGGUGAUUUAACUUCUAUAAUAGAUAUCAUAAUGUCACUGAAAAUUGUUCCUUAAGCCAAGCUCUCUAAGAAUAUGGCAAUUUGGCUGUUUCUUAUGUCAAGCUUAUUUAAGCUAUGUAACUCAUUUUUGGACUUUUCUUCUUCCAUAAUAUUCUAUGGAGCACACCCUACUCAUGGCUGGGGAAUGUGAAAAUGAGGAGUACAUGACCAGAGGUACCACAUAAGUCCAUGGCACUUCCUUGCAGCCAGCUACACUGGAGAAAAUAAACCAGUGCUGAAGUGGUUGCAGCAGGCUUGGAGAAUAAGCCACACUUUGUGCUUCAAGGAGAAGAGAACCCAAGCAUUUUCUUGAGAAGGUCCUGGUGCUUUUGAAACAUGUGCUGAUUAGUAGUGGUGUGUCACCAGCUGGAACUACUUGAACUAGAGAGCACUUUUUAUUUUUCCACUCUCCUUUGGUAACUGCUGUUCCAUGCCAUGCAGAGUGGGAAUUAAGCCCAUAGGUGCUACAGAAACAAAACCAGGUAACAAGGAUACUGGAGGGAGAAAAAAAAAAGACCCUCAUAUUUCAUGCAGUAUGCUUUGGAUUUGACACAUGAAAGUGAACUGCUCCCAUAUGUUCUAAAUGAAUGACUGGCAAAUGGUAUUUAAAAAGUAAAUUGAAGGAGCUUCAGGAAAUCUACACAUCCUUCUACAGAGAAAAGCAAUGCAAAAGCACUGAGUGUUCUUUAUGCCAGAUAGUUUAGUGUCUAAGCAUUUAAAGGUCAAAGAGCUAAGACAAAUGCUACAAAGAAAGGGAACUUGUUUGUUUCAAUCAUGUUUGACAGUCAGAGCUCUCAAAAUCCUUUAUUCUACUCAAAAUAUAUAAUCUUUUGUUUUCUAGCUUAGGGAACACGUAAAAUCAUGAGAGCUUACUGUAAUUUUUAAUGAUUUGCAGCUCAUUUAGCUAUAGUAUAAUUAAAGAUGGUGUUUGAACUCUCUUAUGCUCUCGGUAAGGACACGAAUUUGGAGCAAAAUUUGCAUAAUAACAUUUGCUUUUGUCGAUGUUCAGAGCAGUAAUAUAAUUAAAAAGGUGAAAGGCUUAAGAGAUGAUGGUUCAUAAUGUACUUAUUAAAACUCUGAUUAAAAUAAAAUGUCUGGGAAA